rnacentral:rRNA from 1 species
GACGAACGCUGGCGGCGUGCCUAAUACAUGCAAGUAGGACGCAGUUGCGAACGGGUGAGUAACGCGUAGGUAACUACCUAUUAGAGGGGGAUAACUAUUGGAAACGAUAGCUAAUACCGCAUACUAGUAGCUGGACCUGCGUUGUAGUAGCUAGUAGGUCGGUUAAUGGCCUACCUAGGCAACGAUACAUCGCCGACCUGAGAGGGUGAUCGGCCACACUGGAACUGAGACACGGCCCAGACGCCUACGGGAGGCAGCAGUAGGGAAUCUUCGGCAAUGGGGGAAAGCCUGACCGAGCAACGCCGCGUGAGUGAAGAAGGUUUCCGAUCGUAAAGCUCCGUUGAUAAGGAAGCGGUACUUAACCAGAAAGGGACGGCUAACUACGUGCCAGCAGCCGCGGUAAUAC